AAUUAUCAACCUUACCAGCUUUGCUUGCCGGUCUGGCUUGGAUGUGGGAGUUUUGCAGGCUUUGACAAGUCAGCUCUCCUGAAAUGCAUUAGCGGUACCCUUGUGGUUCAUGGCUACUAGUGUGAUAAUUAUCUACGCUAUUCAGUCACCCACAUUAUUAUGAGGGUCAUGCUGCUUCUAACAGUCCAUUCACUUGGACAAUACAAAAUGACAA
rnacentral:misc_RNA from 1 species